GCUGAAGCACGUAAGGGCGUACGGUGGAUGGCUUGGUAGCGAGGAGCUGAUGAAGGACGUAGCAGCCUGCGAUAAGUCUCGGGGAGGUGGCAAGCAACCUUUGAUCCGGGAAUUUCCGAAUGGG
rnacentral:rRNA from 1 species